GACGAACGCUGGCGGCGUGCUUAACACAUGCCAGUCGAACGGAAAGGCCCGGCUUUUGUGGGGUGCUCGAGUGGCGAACGGGUGAGUAACACGUGAGUAACCUGCCCUUGACUUUGGGAUAACUUCAGGAAACUGGGGCUAAUACCGGAUAGGAGCUCCUGCUGCAUGGUGGGGGUUGGAAAGUUUCGGCGGUUGGGGAUGGACUCGCGGCUUAUCAGCUUGUUGGUGGGGUAGUGGCUUACCAAGGCUUUGACGGGUAGCCGGCCUGAGAGGGUGACCGGCCACAUUGGGACUGAGAUACGGCCCAGACUCCUACGGGAGGCAGCAGUGGGGAAUAUUGCACAAUGGGCGGAAGCCUGAUGCAGCAACGCCGCGUGCGGGAUGACGGCCUUCGGGUUGUAAACCGCUUUCGCCUGUGACGAAGCGUGAGUGACGGUAAUGGGUAAAGAAGCACCGGCUAACUACGUG
rnacentral:rRNA from 1 species